UUCGGUGGUUUUGGCGAGGGGGAAACACCCGGUCCCAUCCCGAACCCGGAAGUUAAGCCCUUCAGCGCCGAUGGUACUGCAUGGGAGACCGUGUGGGAGAGUAGGACACCGCCGGAC
rnacentral:rRNA from 3 species